UAUAUGAUGUGCUAAUUCCAGAGUCUCGGUUCAAGGAGUCUAUUUCCUGGGGCCACUUCUGGUACCAACUAAUGUAUCAGCAGAGUUUCCAGCAGAAAAGAAAUCAUUAGAUGAGUAUUUAUUUACAAAGUGAUAGAUUAUAAAAGUUUGCCUGGGGUAAAAGCAAAUCACCACAAAUAGGGCAGGAAUUGGGGCCAACAGCAGUGAGAUGUUACCUCUCUUCAUGCCAAAGGAGUGAGGAAUGGAGCCUGGAAAAAAUAAAGUCCCAGACUUAUCUAGAAGCCAGAGUACACCAGGUCCUGUUCGUGUAGCCUCUGCCACCCAUCUUUGAGGCAGAGGGCAAAUGGAAACAGAAGGAGAAUGGCUCUGGAGGGUCACCUGCAGCAAAAUGCAGAAAAAACUGAUAGCAGGAAGAAAGAGCUGGAGGCCACAGACCACGAGAUUGGGAUGGUCACUGCCUAGAGGACUGCUCAAAGAGAUUGGCUGCAAAGGGUCAUAGCUGAGGUUUUCUUCUCCCAAAAGAGAGCAGAGGCUACCAUAAGGAUUAAUUCUCUUAUUUUCAGAAAUAACCAGAGGUCUUUGUGUAUCUUUGAUCACAAGAAAGGACUGGACCAAUGUUAAGUUUUUUAAUUUGCACAAAUAAAGAAAUGAAACCUUA